ensembl:lncRNA novel transcript, antisense to SPTBN5
GGCCUGGCGCAGGAAAGGUGACCCAGUAGUUCAGCCUGUCCCAGCUGCCUGCCCCAGCACCAUCCCAGACCCCUUUCCCUGGGGCCCACCUUGGCCCUGAGGAAGGCCAGAGCUCGGCUGCUGUUCUCCAGGAAGUGCACACGCAGGCGGCCCCGGCUCGGGGGUGGCAGGGCCUCCCCUGAGAUGAGCUCCAGCAGCCGCAGGAGGUGGAUGCCGUCAGCCAGCUCUGUGUACAGGUUCCGGAUCUUGAUGCCCGCCUGGGGAGGGGACAGGGGAAGUCCCUCAUCCCACCCGCUUACCCCAGGGAGACUGAGCUUGUUCCUUCUCCUAGUAAGACCCUCAGCCCAUGGAGUCCUGUGUGAUGUUGUGAGCGUGGGAGGACAGACUGAACUGCUCGGCCCGUGGAGUCCUGUGUGAUGUUGUGAGCGGGGAGGACAGACUGAACUGCGUGGUGCUUCGCACAUAGACCUCAACAGGGAUUGGCAUUUUGAAGCUGUUGGCGGGGGCUGUGGACUGCUUUUCUUCCUUUCUAGCUCAACGGCAGCUAAAGCCACUGCAUACAAUGCAAGGACUGGCUCCUGUUUGGCCACGACUGAUUGCAGCCCCUGGUGAAAUGAGAACCCUGUGGGUCGGAACAAAGUUUGGAUUAUUUAUGUUGCAAGUAACUAAAAUCUCAAGUGAAACUGGUUUAAACAUUAUAUUUUUAUUAUUUAUUUAUUUAUAUUUAAUUCUUUUUUAGAGACAGGGUCUUCUUAGGUUGCCCAGGCUGGUCUUGAACUCCUGGCCUCAACGAUCUUCCCACUUCAGCCUCCUGCAUUGCUGGGAUUAUAGGUGUGAGCCACCAUGCCUGGCUUACACAGUAUAAAGGGAAUGCAUUGGCCCACACAGUGGAAAAAAAUAUCUAGUAGGAAUAGGAAGGACUUCAGGUGAGGUUUGAUCCAGCAGCUCAAAUGUUGUCACCACAGGCCUGGAUUCCUCUGGCCUUUCUCAAGGUCUCUUUCAUUUUCAUGCUCCACAAGAUGGCUUCUGCCAGGCUGACCUCCCUCCCCUGACCCCAGCAGCUCUGGACACCCCUCUCAGUGCCAUUUAUAUUGUUGCAUCAAUAGGCUCAUUUCUAUAUACUGCAAGGUUCAGAGAAGACAGAGUAUCUCUCUCAAGAGUUCUAACAUAAGUCUGGGGGUCCUGGCUCUCAUAGGCUUGAACAGGGCCACAUGUCCAUUCCUGAGCCAAUAUUUGUGACCAAGGGGAUGUGGUCAAUCUCAUCCAAACCUCACUUGAAGUGAGGGUGGGAGGAGGAGUGCUCUGCAAGGAGACUGUAGGUCUGGACCACCAAAAAGGUAGAUGGGUUGGUGGGAAAAGCCAGAUGCCUACUAUGGUAGUGGGCGGGGGGAGGGCACACUGGCAAGGUACAGCAAGAGGCAGGGGCAGUGCUGGACAGGCAGGGGCUCCUCCCUAGCACGACUGGAGAAAGGACUCCUGUGAAGCGGUCACCUCCAUGAGUCCCUCCUGUCCUGGCUUCCAACCACUCUGAAGUGGGGCUUUUGUCCACAGACCUGGCCUCUGCUGCCUACCCUCUUCUGUCCCCACCUGAUGGGGCCGCUUUCCUUCUGAAGCGGCUGCAUUUUGGGUUUCUCUCCACAGGAAGAGUUGGGGCUCACAGGCACACCCUCUCCCUAACUCUUCUCCCCCGGUUCAACCUGGAUCCAGGGAUCCACACUCUGCUCCGAGAGGCCAGCACGCAGCCACUGGAAAAUGAGCCAGUGGGAGAGGGCAGCUCCAUGUUUAUUGAUCAGCAGACUAUGUCUUUUUGUUUGAAACUUCUAAAUAAGAUUACAAAAAGAAAAAAAAUAGAAGCAUUGCGUAUUAACUGCAUUGGUUAACCAACAUUGGAACCCAAUACUCUUGUAUUAGGCCCGCAUUUACCUGAGUAAACUCAGUGGUUUUCUGUCCUAAGCAUGCUUGCCUGCUACAUCCCAUGGAGAAAAUAAACAGUGAAACACUUUCCUCAUCUUCAAGGCAAUUGUCUCAGGCAUCCUCCAGGCAUCAUGAAGGAGGGUGAGCGAGGGUGCGAGGUGGAAAGGUCCAGGCCGCGGCUGUGACUCCCGCGGGUGAACCACAGCUCCACAGCCCCAAAUCCAAAGAUGCUCUUGCUGCAGCACGACAAGUGUUCAAAAGAGAACCAGGCCCAGCCCGGAGAAAGGAAAGCCAAAAGCCAACUGAAUGAAUGACCCUCCCCCAGAAGAGCAACCCUGCCCCCAGGCCAUCCAAGUGCGAACAUUACCAGGUGCCAGCAGGGAAAGGACUCCGCUGCCUGACGCCUCUCCCACCUGAGAGCGCAGAGGUAGGGAGAUCACAGUGCCUGAGAGGUUUUCCUCCACGGAGAAAUCAGAGACCUCAACCUGCUGCCCUCUAAAGCAGCUUUCUGUAUCCAGACAAAACUUACAUAUGUACACGUUGUUUUAAAACGACAUACUCAUGUGACACACAUGUAUAUAAAUUCAUGUUUAUAUAUGACAAUUGAGGAGAGUUAAAGAACAAGAUAAUUCUGGAUGGAAAAAUCAGUUUGCCUGGGCAUCUGUAAACCUUUGGGCAAGUGAAUUCCCUCUUCUCUCUCAGUUCACCCUUUGGUGACCUCCACCGUGGCUGCAGACUUCAGGUGGUCCUCACGCAUUCACAGAACUGUCUGCUUAGGUUACAGCACUUUGGGAGGCCGAGGUGGGUAGAUCACGAGGUCAGGAGAUCGAGACCAUAUUGACCAACAUGGUAAAACCCCAUCUCUACUAAAAUACAAAAAUUAGCCGGGCGUGGUGGCGGGUGCCUGUAGUCCCAGCUACUUGGGAGGCUGAGGCAGGGGAAUCACUUGAACCUGGGAGGCGGAGGUUGCAGUGAACUGAGAUUGCGCCACUGCACUCCAGCCUGGGUGACAGAGACUUCCUCUCAAAAUAAAAAUAAAAAUAAUAAAAUAAUAAAUGGUUCUUUUCUAUGCGUCUAAUGAAUUUAAGUGCUUGUUAAGACUAAAAACCAUGUUAUGCAUUUCCUGCUCUUAAAACUAAAUUAUGUAGAAAGUAAGCUAGGGAGUGUAAGGGUAGGCAUCUGGAUAUAAAUGCUUCUCCCAAAUCAAGAUUUUCUCUUCAAUCUGUGCCUUUGACCCUGUCACCAAAGGCAGGUGACAGAAAAAAAAAAUUAUGUGCCUUUUGGAAGACUCAGUGGGACGGUUCUGAUUUCAUUCACUUCUGGUGCCAGCAGGCCCCCAUACCAUGUGGCCAUUGCUGUUUCGUGUCUCUUCCUGCAUAAAUAAUGCAGAGAGGCCAUGCAGGUAUGCAAUUUUCUGGAGAUGAGGCAGGGAGAUUUGCAAGGAAAAGUCACCUACCUCCCCAAGCUGGUGCCCACAGAGGGGGAGGCACCUCCACCUGACGCAGGUGUCUGAGCAGCAGUCCAGAGAGGUUUACUCAGGGGAUUUGGGGAGCGCACACUCUGGAGCAGAAGUACAGGUAUGUGCCCGAAUCCUGCCUCGUGAUGGGCAUUCAUGAUACGAACCACACAGCCUUUAAAGAAAAGGUUUUAUAUGAAAGGUUCCAUUUUGUUUCUGUAUAAAGGCUUUUAUCCUGUAAGGAAAAAAAAAAAACACAAAACCC